UGGGGAAUAUUGGACAAUGGGCGCAAGCCUGAUCCAGCCAUGCCGCGUGGAUGAUGAAGGCCUUAGGGUUGUAAAAUCCUUUCGGCGGGGAAGCGGUACCCGCAGAAGAAGCCCCGGCUAACUUCGUGCCAGCAGCCGUGGUAAUACGAAGGGGGCUAGCGUUGCUCGGAAUCACUGGGCGUAAAGCGCACGUAGGCGGCUUUUUAAGUCAGGGGUGAAAUCCUGGAGCUCAACUCCAGAACUGCCUUUGAUACUGAGAAGCUUGAGUCCGGGAGAGGUGAGUGGAACUGCGAGUGUAGAGGUGAAAUUCGUAGAUAUUCGCAAGAACACCAGUGGCGAAGGCGGCUCACUGGCCCGGUACUGACGCUGAGGUGCGAAAGCGUGGGGAGCAAACAGGAUUAGAUACCCCGGUAGU
rnacentral:rRNA from 1 species